UUAGUACUCCCUCCGCUCGGAAGUACUUAUCAUAAAAAUGGAUGUAUCUAGAUGUAUUUUAGUUUUAGGUAGAUUUAUUUUUAUACAUCUGUGCGACAAGUAACUCCGAACGAAGGUAGUAUAUU
rnacentral:pre_miRNA from 1 species